rfam:Mesocricetus auratus contig160299, whole genome shotgun sequence.
GGGAAUAUGGUGACAAAUGAAUGUCUCUAAUAUAGGUGAUGACACAAAAAUCAUACUCAAUAACAUUAAACUGAUUCCC